rnacentral:rRNA from 1 species
GAAUGUCAGGGGCUUAAACAGUCCAGCAAAUGAAAGGCGUUGAUGGAGUUAGCUGAUUCUGCCCACCCGACAAUCAUGUGUAUUGAGGAAACUAACUUCGAUGUAAUUGGUACUUCUGUGGUAAUGCAAUGCCUAGGCCCUUCCUAUGAUGGCUUCUUCUACUUGCCUACUGAGGGAAUGCGUGGAGGCAUUCUCCUGGCUUGGAUGAUGGUGAUUGCUAACAUCUCUAAUGGAAUACUUGACUGUAACUUCUUAACUGCGUACUUCUCCCCUUUGGAUGACGUGCCAUGGUGGUUAUCCGUCGUCUACGAGCCACAAGAAGACACUGACAAGAUCGACUUUCUGAUCGAUCUCUCCAAUCAGAGAUUACUCUGUCCAUGUCCUUGGCUUGUUAUAGGGGAUUUCAACAUGAUUGUACAAGUAACGAACAAGAAUGACUCCAACAUUGAUAGAAGGAUGAUGGGCAGAUUUUGA